rnacentral:rRNA from 1 species
AAGCGCACGUUAGGCGGCUUUGUAAGUAAGAGGUGAAAGCCCAGAGCUCAACUCUGGAAUUGCCUUUUAGACUGCAUCGCUUGAAUCAUGGAGAGGUCAGUGGAAUUCCGAGUGUAGAGGUGAAAUUCGUAGAUAUUCGGAAGAACACCAGUGGCGAAGGCGGCUGACUGGACAUGUAUUGACGCUGAGGUGCGAAAGCGUGGGGAGCAAACAGGAUUAGAUACCCUUGU